rnacentral:rRNA from 1 species
CAGUCGCCGCGGGAAAACGAAGGGCGCAAGCGUUACUCGGAAUUACUGGGCGUAAAGCGUGCGUAGGUGGUGGUUUAAGUCCGUUGUGAAAGCCCUGGGCUCAACCUGGGAAUUGCAGUGGAUACUGGGUCACUAGAGUGUGGUAGAGGAUAGUGGAAUUUCCGGUGUAGCAGUGAAAUGCGUAGAGAUCGGAAGGAACAUCUGUGGCGAAGGCGACUAUCUGGGCCAACACUGACACUGAGGCACGAAAGCGUGGGGAGCAAACAGGAUUAGAUACCCGAGUAGUCCCUGUCUCUUAUAC